UGCGCAGGCGGCCUGCUAAGUCAGGGGUGAAAUAUGACGGCUCAACCGUCAAACUGCCCCUGAAACUGGCUGGCUUGAGUCCGGGAGAGGAAGGUGGAAUUCCAGGUGUAGCGGUGAAAUGCGUAAAUAUCUGGAGGAACACCAGUGGCGAGGGCGGCCUUCUGGCCCGGAACUGACGCUCAGGCACGAAAGCAUGGGGAGCGAACG
rnacentral:rRNA from 1 species